UACGUAGGCAGCAAGCGUUGUUCGGAGUUACUGGGCGUAAAGGGUGUGUAGGCGGUUGUUUAAGUUUGGUGUGAAAUCUCCCGGCUCAACUGGGAGGGUGCGCCGAAUACUGAAUAACUUGGAGUGCGGGAGAGGAAAGUGGAAUUCCUGGUGUAGCGGUGAAAUGCGUAGAUAUCAGGAGGAACACCGGUGGUGUAGACGGCUUUCUGGACCGUAACUGACGCUGAGACACGAAAGCGUGGGGAUCAAACAGG
rnacentral:rRNA from 1 species